UACGUAGGGGUCUAGCGUUGUCCGGAAUCAUUGGGCGUAAAGAGCUCGUAGGCGGUUCGGCAAGUCGGAUGUGAAAUCUCCACGCUCAACGUGGAGGGGCCAUUCGAAACUGCCGUGACUCGAGUCCGGUAGGGGAGUGCGGAAUUCCCGGUGUAGCGGUGAAAUGCGCAGAUAUCAGGAGGAACACCUAUGGCGAAGGCAGCUCUCUGGGACGGUACUGGCGCUGAGACGCGAAAGCGUGGGGAGCGAACAGG
rnacentral:rRNA from 1 species